rnacentral:rRNA from 1 species
ACACCACGAGAGUUUACAACACCCGAAGUCGGUGAGGUAACCGCAAGGGGCCAGCCGCCGAAGGUGGGGUAGAUGAUUGGGGUGAAGUCGUAACAAGGUAGCCGUAUCGGAAGGUGCGACUGGAUCACCUCCUUU